rnacentral:tRNA from 1 species
GGAGAGGUCGCAUAGUGGCCUAGUGCACGUGUUUGGAGAACACGAAUACCUUAACCGGUAUCGAGGGUUCGAAUCCCUCCCUCUCCG